rnacentral:lncRNA from 1 species
GAGCAAUUUCCACAAUUUGCAUAUUGAAGGCUUAAUACAUUGCUAAAUUAUAAUGUCAUAAUGGUAAGAAAUCCUUUUAGACAACAUGAAUAUUUUACCAACAACAUAGCAUUUGACAGAGUAACAAUAAUAACAGUUAAAGAAAAAUAAUACAUGUAGUGUCACUGUUCAUAUAUAUCUACAGGAACUUUCAUCAAGCAAAAUCAUCUUGAACUCUCAACUGACACCGAUAUUUCAAAAAACGAACCAAACUCUCGAUUGUCACAAUGUCCCUGAACACUUCACACAGAUCAACAAUAGUUUUGUAUAUUCAAUCCUAUCAAAGCCUAAUCGAAGACAGACAGCCAACAGUAUCAUUCACUCAACGGAAAGUAAAAGAACCAGAAAUCUUCAAUUCUAUCAAAGUCUAAUCGAAAAUCGUUCAAAAGAAAUAAGAGAAUUAUUAAUAAUCAAAUAAGUUCAUCAAUUACUGGAUUUUACUAUUCCUUGAAAACCUUAACCUAGGUUAGCCGCUGCAAACCUAGAAGAUAGCAAAGAAACUUAACAGGAUUCAUUGUCCCUGUACAGAUCACUUUUGCGAGCAAUCACAAAAUUCACAAAAUAAACCGACAGAAAAUGGAGAGCGAAUAGGUAUAAAACCUACAGCUGUUGCAGACAGGAAUCAGAGGACAAAACUAUUCGUCUGGCUGACUUCGCAGAAAUUAUGUUGUUUCGAAUCGAAACCCUACGGAUUAGGGUUUAAGAGGAAUUCCAACUACUCAAACUGUAAGAGUAAACAAUUUUGAGGAAGGCGAAUAUAACAAAA